CAUGGUUUGGCGUUUGCUCCGUAGUUGACUGGAAAGCCCUGCAACGGGUGGUGGAAACAGCCCAGCACAUCACUGGUACCCAGCUCCCGGCCAUCGUAGACCUCCAGCACAAGCAGUGUCUGCACAGGGCCAAGAUAGCAAAAAAUAUCCGCACGGCUUCUUUUUGCCGCCGGCCCUAAGCUGUCGGCUAUAGGUGCGUCCUGCUGGCGGGGAUGAAACGUUUGCCGCCGAAUACGUCACUCCCAUUUCUUGCGAGAUGACGGCGGUCCGACUGCUUCAUUUUCUCUGGCGGUUGCCUCUAUGGUUGCCUCGGUCUAAUGGACCGCGGUCGUCCGGCGGCAAGACGCUUUUAAAUACAAGGCUAUACUCUCAAAAUCGACCGGCCAUGUUGGUUUUAGACACACAUUCGCAUCAGUUCGUCGCUCAAUCGCGAGUUGCAGCUUGCUAGCUAGCAAAGUCAUCGACUACCAUCGUUUAAAUACCUUGGCCAGAGCAUAACCGAUUAUCUUCACCCAAGAGACCUACUGUUGGUCAAUCGUUUUGGUUUUAAAGGUAAAUGCAUUGUUAGUCACAAUGUCUAGUUACUGGGCCAAAAGGAAAAUAAUAUUGAAAAGAGUUGAGAGGGACACACAGGACAUUCACUUGAAUCACUACAUACUACAGAAGUUGCAUUGAUUCCAGAAAACCAGGAAAAUGUUGAGCCAUCUGUAGACUUCAGAGUUGGUAUGUAAAAUGUAUUGCUGUGAUGCUUAAUUUGUGAUCCUGUAACUAAACUGUACACUUUGUUAGAUUUUCAAAUUUCUGUUCCCUCUUUCUCAGAACCAGGUUUCUCCCCAGUAAUCCAGACUCCACUUCACAGAGCCAAGAGUUUGAGUACAAGUAAAGUGAUGUUAUUUGUGACGUUUUUUGUCUUGGAAACUAUUGCUUCUAUUUAAGAUUAGGAAUCCUUUUAUCCAUAAGAUGUUUUUCAUUAGGGCACUUGACUUUCUGGAUAAAAGGUGUUGAGGUGUGUUGUACAUCAUUAGCUUUGAACAGUUCAAUUAUUGUUUCAUUACUCAAUAUGCAAUCUCUGCAGUGAAAUUAAAGCGGUUAUGUUUGUUCCCCCAGCUCGUCAAGUACUAAGCUUUACACCACCAGCAGCAAAUUUACCCUGGCAGCAUAUGGGUGAAAAGGCUGGAGGAGAAAGUCAUCGCUUUGUUAUUGGCCCUUGGACGCCCCUGGCAUCUCAUGUACAGCACAAAGUUUUCAGCUAUGAAGAUUUCCAGAGACUCCAGAAUGAAAACCAAGCUCUGAGGGAGGAGAACCAAGCCCUGAGGGAAUGCAAUGCACAAGCAGCUUCGGAUGACAGCGGCUCACUUCAAGAGCAGGUGAAGCAAGUAGGGACAAUGUUGAAGACGUUUGCUCUCACUGGGCAAUCAGGUGCGUUACCUGAAAGGAGCAUCUGACCGUGAAGGCAGAAAAAGGCGCCGCACAGCUGAGAGGGACCCACAGCCGACCCCUUAAACCUAGGCUGACUACUGGCACCCCAGCAUCACUGAACUUUCUUUAUCCUGCAGUCAGUAACAUCAAGAAGCCAGAAGUGCCAGACUACACUCACCAAAUGCACCCUGUUUUAUUUUGUAUCUUUAGUAUUGGCUUAUUUCAUUCCGUCUUAACGAUUCUAUUAUAGUUUGUAAAUCUUAUUUCAUACCUCUAAAACGUGAUAUUGCACAUUACCUGGUACCAAAUAUUCUACUUACUCUGUUUUUAGCAUUUUUCAUUCUGUCACAGUGCUUAAGUGUUAUUCUAUUGUUAAAUAUAGCUUGUAAAUCCUUGUGCCACAGGUCAGCAUUGCAGUUAUAAUGGUCUGUUCUACUACUGUUUUUACCUCCGUAUUUUUAUAUAAAUAUAUAUGUCAAGUUGUCUAUCACAGAUACAAGAGACACAGAUCUUAUUGCAGCAUGGUGUAAAUCUUGUGCUUCAGGUCAGCAUUGCAAUUAUAAUGGUCUAUUCUACUCUAGAGCUUUACUCUAAAUUAUUACCACUUUUCCUAUUGUUAGAAAUGGCUUGAAAAUGUGAUGUUAUACCUCGAUUUAUUUGGUAUCCUGCACAUUCUUUGGUACCAAAUAUCCUCAUUACUUUUUAUGUUUACUGGUAAUCAUU
ensembl:lncRNA